UAACAAAAAUGUAAUUGAACUAGUAUAACAAACAUGUAAUCAAACAAGUGUAGCAAAAAAGUAAUCGAACAAGUAUAACAAAAAUGUAAUCCAACAAGUAUAACAAGAAUGUAAUCGAACAAGUAUAACAAAAAUGUAUUUCCUAUAAGAACAACCCAACAUAUUUAUUUUAACUAAAACGGAAUAUUCCCUCUCAUACAGCAUGGCCAGACACCACUGGAAGUAGCCGUAAAAUCUAGAAAUAUUGAGAUGGUCAAGCUAAUCUGUUUGUUUGGUGCUGAACCGUCAUUACAGGACUGGUCUUGGACAAUGAAAGAACUAGACCAAAAAGAAAAUCAGAUAUUAGAAUUGCUUGUUAGCCAACAUAGUCGAAUGCCAGGUUAUAAAUAUGGUUCAAUUCUACAGACAGUUUUGUAUGUUUCACCUAAAGAUGGAAACAAACUUGAGAAUAUUGGAGUGGAAGUACUGAAAUGCGAUACGUCUUCGCCGUUUUACUUUUAUUGCAGUAAAAUGCAGACAGAAUAUUCUGACAUUCGGAGUAAAUUAACAGACGAACAAGA